rnacentral:lncRNA from 1 species
CCAUCCCCUUUAGGCCCAUCCUCACACCCGCUUACGUGGCGGCCCAUCCCCUUGGGGGUGAGCUUCACCAUAUCUUCCAGCCUUAUGCAGUUGAUCCCUAAAUUCAUAAACCUGUGAUCGAGAUUUUCAACUUAGUAAAUCUUCAUUUUCAUUGUGAUCCAUACAAUUACAUGAUUUGGAUAUGUUGACCAUUGUUCUUGAUAGUGUUGCAAGAAUCGGUAGGCGUUAGUCGCCGGUGAGGUACCGACUAGCGAUUAAUCGGGAUUAACAGGGAUUAGUUGGAUUAAUCGGAUUGGGAUUUUUAUGUAUAAUUUUUAGUUUUAUAUAUACACAAACUUAACUUUUUUAAGUAGACAUGUUUUAACCUCUUGUUGACCCAUUUUUUAAGUAAUUUGAGGGAAUUUAUAAGGUUUGGUCAAAAGUUGGCCGGAGUAGGACAUCGUUGACCGCCUAGCGAUUAAUCGGCUAUUAGUCGGCGAACCUUCGAUUAGUGAUUAAUUAGCGACUAAUUGGAGCCUAGGUAAGAUUUUUACAACCAUGGUUCUUAAUAAGUAGGUGUAGGAGUUUGGUCCUGAAAGUUAUACAUCAUCUCUAAUCUUUCAAGUUGAUAAGUUUAGGACCAAAGUGUUCUAAAUUGGUCCAAUAUGAUGUAGAUUGUUACUUUUAAUGCAGCAAACAUUUCGUUUUGGACCAAGUCAUCUUUAACCAUCUAACAAACGGACACCCUUAAAGAAUAAAUAAAACAAAUUUUAUACGAUAUCUAACCGUUAAAGUAAAAGACCAACUGUUGUUCCUAUUGGGUCAGCUUGCUUGCACGUGUGUUUUUUUCUUAUGUGUUUUUAUUUCUGUUUAGAAUAAGUCAAGUCCAUGUUUUUGAUCGUGUGAACGUUGGAGUUGUUUCCUAGUUAGUGGGUCAGUUCCUAGUUUUUCUGAGUCUGUUAGUUUGUGGCCGUUGUUGGCUUGGCUAUAUAAAGCCGGUGGUGUUUAUUGAAUAAAGCAAGCAUUCAAGUAUUGUGUUUUGUUUAUGCACUUGACACUUCAAGUGUUCCAUGUGUACGCUGCCAUCAUCGAAUAACAUACCGCUAGAAGAUUCUUGUUCCAUGUCUAUGCUACCCUGAAACUACAGAUACAAAACUGCUGA